rnacentral:tRNA from 1 species
GGAGGAGUAUCGAAGUGGUCAUAACGAGAGCGACUCGAAAUCGUUUGACGGUGCAAGCCGUCCGUGGGUUCGAAUCCCACCUCCUCCGCCA